ensembl:lncRNA
GGACCUAGAGCCAUUCUAGCAAAUCACCCCUGGCUUCUGUGAACAUAUUAGAGUGGGAAGCAGUGUAUCUUGAUUAACAGUGUCAAAAGGUUCAGAGAGAUGUGAAAGGACAUUGCCUGUUCUAACCAGCCAUUUGUAAGAGAAAAGGCAGGCAGUGUGUUCCUUGGAAUGCUCCCUGAGCUCCUGUGGCCGUGGCUUUGGACAUGUUUGAUCAAAGAUUGAUCUUUGAAUCUUUUCCCUGGGGAUUUUUCCUUCAUAAUAUCCAAGUAAAUUCAUGAAGAGUGAGAAGGAAUGCUGCCUUCAAGCCUCCUUUGCUGGUGAGAGAUGUUAAGUACUACAGGGACAGAAAAUAGAAGACCAAUAGAACAGGAAAGGUGGAUAUGGAGAAUGGAGGGUCAGGAGGAUGUGUAUGUGAGCACUGAGACAGCUGGAUACUGCACAAGGAAGCUGCUCCCUGCCUGACCUUUGCCACUGAGUUCUUCCAAAAUGCUAAGUUCAGAAAUUUAACCCAGGGUUGUAGUAAGCAUUCUGGUAAACCAGGCUCACUUUCCAUAUGCUUGUAGUUGUGGCAUAAGUCAGGGCCUAAUUGUUUUAAAAAUAGAAAGUUAUUAACAAUAGGUACUGUGGAGAGAGGUAGGGGAGAAGUAACCUAGAUGUCCCAGGUUAUCCCCAUUCUUGAUAUGGCUGCUGAGAAAGUAGAAAAGCCUUGGAAGUGCAAUUGGAAUAGAAAGCUUGAACACUGCGUUCACACAGGCUCAAAACAGUUGAGCUGCUUAAGCUACUGCCUUCCUGUCAUUUCCUCAUCAGCUUCUUCGUUCUCUAUGCUGAAAAUCGUGUCCUCUCAUCCUAGCAGAAUGGGCCAUGCAGUGUUCUUUUCUGCUUCACUGCAACAUCAGAUAGGUCAAAUUAAACAGCCUUCAGGUUAAACAGCUGAAAGUUAAGCUGGAUAACUUUGUGUUGAAGCCAGUGAAGAGUAGUAGCAUUAAAAGAGGACUUUCUGCAGAAUGUAUGUUGAAUAGUUGUCUAUAAUAAUACUGUGAAAAGCACCCAGAAAAAGUUAUGAUUUCUACUUCUAGAAGAGAAUUUAAAUUAUAUAGGAUUAUUAAACAAAUU